UACUUGCCUUUUGUUUAGAUUGCAGCAAAAAUUGGAGGAGAUGCUGGCACAUCAAUGAAUUCAAACGACUACGGUUACGGAGGACAAAAAAGACCUCUUGAGGAUGGAGAUGGCUCUUGGACAAGUCCGAGCAGUACAACACACUGGGAGGGAAUGCCCUCUCCUUUUAAAGAUCAACCAGAUGCUAAGAAAGUUGCUCCUCAGAAUGACUCUUUUGGAAACCAGCUACCACCGAUGCAUCAACAGCAAAGGUCUGUGAUGACAGAGGAGUACAAAGUUCCAGAUGGGAUGGUUGGAUUCAUAAUUGGUAGAGGUGGAGAGCAGAUCUCACGCAUACAACAAGAGUCUGGCUGUAAAAUACAGAUUGCACCAGAUAGUGGAGGCCUGCCUGAAAGAUCAUGUAUGCUAACUGGAACACCAGAGUCUGUUCAAUCAGCAAAAAGAUUACUUGAUCAGAUAGUUGAAAAGGGAAGACCUGCACCUGGCUUUCAUCAUGGUGAUGGACCUGGAAAUGCAGUCCAAGAAAUUAUGAUUCCAGCAAGUAAAGCGGGAUUAGUUAUUGGAAAAGGUGGAGAGACAAUUAAACAAUUACAGGAGCGGGCAGGUGUCAAAAUGGUCAUGAUUCAAGAUGGUCCACAGAACACUGGUGCAGACAAGCCCCUUAGGAUAACUGGAGAUCCUUAUAAAGUUCAACAAGCCAAGGAAAUGGUGCUGGAGUUAAUUCGUGAUCAAGGUGGCUUUAGAGAGGUGCGCAACGAAUAUGGGUCAAGAAUAGGAGGAAAUGAAGGGAUAGACGUUCCAAUACCACGAUUUGCUGUAGGUAUUGUAAUUGGAAGAAAUGGAGAGAUGAUAAAAAAGAUACAGAAUGAUGCAGGUGUUAGGAUCCAAUUUAAGCCAGAUGAUGGAACAACUCCAGAUAGAAUAGCCCAAAUCACAGGGCCUCCUGACAGAUGUCAGCAUGCUGCAGAAAUUAUUACAGAUCUUCUUCGAAGUGUUCAGGCUGGUAACCCUGGUGGACCAGGACCUGGUGGUCGAGGAAGGGGUAGAGGCCAAGGCAACUGGAACAUGGGGCCUCCUGGUGGAUUACAGGAAUUCAAUUUUAUUGUUCCCACUGGCAAAACUGGAUUAAUCAUUGGCAAAGGUGGUGAAACUAUUAAAAGUAUAAGCCAGCAGUCUGGUGCUAGGAUAGAACUUCAACGGAAUCCUCCACCUAACGCAGAUCCAAACAUGAAGAUGUUUACUAUCCGUGGAACACCCCAGCAAAUAGAUUAUGCACGACAACUUAUAGAAGAGAAGAUAGGAGGUCCAGUAAAUCCAUUGGGUCCACCUGUUCCCCAUGGACCCCAUGGUGUUGUUCCUGGCCCACAUGGACCUCCUGGGCCACCAGGUCCUGGUGCUCCCAUGGGACCAUAUAACCCAGCUCCUUAUAAUCCAGGGCCUCCUGGCCCUGCACCUCAUGGUCCUCCAGCUCCAUAUGCUCCACAGGGAUGGGGAAAUGCUUAUCCACACUGGCAGCCACCAAAUCCACCAGAUCCUGGUAAGCCAGGAACAGAUCCCAACUCUGCAGCAUGGGCAGCUUAUUAUGCUCACUACUAUCAGCAGCAAGCACAGCCACCACCUGCAGCCCCUCCUGGUGGACCAGCUACAACCCAAACCAAUGGACAAGGAGAUCAGCCAAAUCCAGCACCAGCAGGGCAGGUUGACUAUACGAAGGCCUGGGAGGAGUACUACAAAAAAAUGGGUCAAGCAGUUCCCGCCCCUGCUGGGGCUCCGCCAGGUGGUCAGCCGGAUUACAGUGCAGCAUGGGCUGAGUACUACAGGCAGCAGGCAGCAUACUAUGCCCAGACAAGUCCACAGGGAAUGCCACAGCAUCCUCCAGCACCGCAGUGCAGGUUUGAUCCAGCCAGUAUAGAACUAGCUCUAUAGGGGUGAGGAGGACUGUGCUGUGUAUCAUCCUUGAUUGUUCCUUCAAGGAGCAUUGCACUGUAAGUACAUCAGAAUGACAAAUUGAUGAACUGCAACAGUAUCUUUUUGUCAAUGUUCCACAUAAUGAAAAUGCCAUACUUGUGUGACUAUUAUGUUGGAAUACAGUGCUGAUAUCUUAGGACAUCAUAAUUGCUUCUUAAUCCAGAAACAUAGGUUUGCAUAUAUAUAUAUAUAUAUAUACAUACACAUAAUAUGAGUUUGGUGGGUAAGUAUUCCUGAAACGUUUAGCAAUAGCUAAAGAAAAUCAUGUUUCUGUUUGAGUAAUAGUUUUUUUUUCAUUAGUACUCCUAAGACAGCUGUAUCAUUCAGUGUUUUAAAGUAUGCAUAUCGUAACAUUUUGAAGUCUUUGGAACCACUUGUUAGACAGAAGUUCUUUUGUCUUCAGAUAGUUUGCAGAUAUGUAGUGAUGUAGGUAUGUUUUAAAUAAUUCUGUAACUGUUACUUGCUUUAUCUUUUGGAACACCAUGUUGCUUUGAGAAUAAAUUUUUUUUAGGGUGGCUGCACAGAGAAAAAAGUUAAGGCUUGAAAAUUGAAGUAGUUUAUUAUUCACAUAAUUAGCAAUGUAUGUAUUGUGCUGUAGCAAUAGAAGGAAUUAUUUUUAUCCCUUUUAAAAUUAGGAAUUAUUCUGGUAGCUUAAAAAAGGCUAGGACAGUAUUUGCUAUCUUUAGUGUAGGGUAUAAAGUUUAAUAGUUGAGGUAUUUUGCAUGGUAUUUUGUAGAUAACCUUAUAGAAUGGUGCAUUUAUUAUGUACUAAACUGAGCAAAAUUAAAUUCACUGGAUUCUUUAUCAUUCACAAAAUGGAGGCUGUUGAUUUUGAUUCAUUUAAGGUAUAAAAUCUUUAUUAAUUGCAAACAGUGCAAUUAUUUAUACUUCACAGUGCCUUCCCAGACCUUCCACCUUAGGUUCUGCUGCAAAAAAGCAACAGGUAAGCACAACCUAAGGAAGUAUAUAAAUUAAUAUAUUUCAGUACAUUAAUGUUGUCCCUGUGAGAUCUUUGUGGUUGUGUAUUGAAAAGCAAUCUGCUGCUUCCCCAAAUGCAUUGUUACUCACGGUUCCAUUUCAGUGGAAAGUCUUCUAAGUUUUUAAACAACUGUUUAUAUUUCUAGGUAAAUAUGUAUAUAUUUUUUUUUUUUUUUUUAGGAAAGACAAGUAGAUUGCAGUAAUUAUAACGUGAUCAGAAUAAGUAAUUUCUGUUAUUUUUCCUCAAAUAGCUAAUUGUUGCAAUUAAAGAAUCAAAACCUUUAAAAUAUGCAGGAAUUACUUUGGUUAGAAACGUCAACAGCCUUCACAAAUGUUUUUUAUAAUAGGGCACUAUUCCCACUCAAACCCGUAAGACCUUAGUAUAAAGAAUAUGACUUCAUGUUGUUAUCACUGAACUUGAUAACUUGUCUUACAGUUAUAGUGUGUUAGUGGAAUUUUUGGAUAACUUAGUUUGCUUUUCAUACUUUGACAUGGUAGGAAAACAGAUGCUGGAGUUUCAGAGAUUAGUAUGUUUUAACUGAAAAAGCAUGUGCACCAGUUAAAUGUUAACAGUACAGCAAAUAAUUUUAUCUAUAUAGCAGUCAGUGUAUCCUGUUUCUUGAUACCUUAACUGAAUUGCUGUAUCUUUUGAUAGUUUAAAAUGUUUGUAUGUCUUAUAGAUGGUCUGGUACAGGUUUUUCUUUCUGGUUUUUGUUGGGUUUGUUUUUUUAGCUUAAAGUAAAGCAGCAUCUAUUUGGUUUUUGUUGAUUAUUCUGUUUCUAAAAUGUGCUGCUCCUCUUUCAAAAGUCCUGCUUAUCUGUACAUCAAAGAAAAAUAUUCAAAAAUACUGCCUUCAUUUUCACACACAGUGCUGAAGAUGCUGCAAGCACCAAAUCAUAGCUCAUAGAAUCAGGUCCUGAGAUAGUUACUACCAGUAAAGAGGAAUCCUUUGAGUGUAUGCCAUUGGUGAGCCGAUGAGCAUGGACCAUAGAAGGGCUCCAUGUAGAAGGUAAAAUUGGCAAAAACAUAACAGAUUUGAAAUGUAUCCCAUACAUAAUGGUGUAGGGUAUAAUUUUUGUUUUGAUCACUUUUCAUUCUUUAAAGUAUUAUUUGUUUGACCAUAAAUGUUCCAUAAUGUUAAGUUUUUUAAACUGUGAUUUAAUAAUAUAAACCAUCUAUUUUAAUUUAUAUUUUUUUAAACAGCCAGGCUUAGAUAUAUUGAAUUUUUGAACUAAAUAGUUGUGCUUCAGUUUCUCAAGCCACUUAAUAUGUCAUCUGUAGUUUAAUAUGUAACUUCAUUUUUGACGUGAGAAAAGGUUAGGUGUGUACCAUUUGGAUUUUGAUACUGUGAAUUUAGUGUUGGGGUGAGUCAUUUGUUCACUACCUUUUACAUGAUGAUACUUUUUUCAACUGUUGUUCCUAAAAUAUCUUGAACAGUUUUCAACUGUAAAUUUAGUCAGUGGGACGAGAUAGAGAAGAAAAAGCCAGUCAAUUGAAACGUUGCUAGUGUGUGGAAGAUGAGAUGUUCUUGUGUGUAGCAUUUGAGGUGUGCUGACUUCCAGCUUUCUCGCUGUUGGGCUUACAGGCAUGCUAUUUUGUGUUUAUUUUUUCAACUCUGUCUCCAAACUCAUAGUUCUUAGGAGAACAGAAAAUAGAUUAUUGGUCUUACCCUGAUCCAAAAAGAUAACUGGACUUCCUUAGAAAGAAAUGUAAUGAACUUUCCCAAAAGGUGUUCCCUGCUUUUUUCCCCUGCCCCUUAGAGUGCCACAGAUUUAAGUAGAAUGUGAAGAGUACAAAAAGUUUAAAAAGAAAGCAUAAUGUUUGAAAUAGGAAAAGCAUUUUUGUGUCCCUUUCUGCAGCCUAUACUUUAACAGGACAUGAAAUGUCAGGUAGAUAAUCUCCAGUCUGGUGUGAUUGAGAGUCAUCUAUUUCAGUUGUCCAGGUAGACAGGAUCGUUACUUGCACAGCCUAUCUCGAAAUAUCUCAUCUUUUUACUAGUUAUAUUUUAUUGGGUGAUAGAAACUGUCUCUGCCCUGUUCUCUUCCAAAGUAAUUUUUAAGUUUUCCAUUGCAUGCUAAGAGCUUUUUAAUUUGCUUUCUUCUGGAAGUGGGGGGAGGAAGGGGAGGACUGGGCUUUUCAGAAAAGCAUACAGUUGACAGGAUUCCCUCUUCCCUAGCAAUAGCUUAUGAAAUUCUUAUGUAUGCACAAAUAUUUCUCUUGCGUGCAUGUGAAAUGCCUUUUCGUCCUGAGAAAAGUGUUCUCUGCAGAAACUACCCGUGUGUAAAAAGAAGAUUGGCUUUAAAAGGCAACUGUGAUGGGAACAGUGUCUUAGGGAGAUGCAGCUUGGACUUGAGACAUUUAAUCAUCACUGAAGAAUGGGAAUUGAGAUACUCUGAUCUAUUCAGUAUUGCUUGUCUCUAGUGAACACUUACCUGAUAAGAGAAGCCUGUGGUUUGCAAACUGCAAUCAAGAACAAAAGAAUGAACCAUCCUCAGAAGACAUCUCAGAGUGCUUUAUUUGUUAAUGGAGGAACUGGACUAAGAACUGUCAGAGUAUUGCUAAUCCAGAUUUCUGUAUACUGCAAGCAGCCCUGGGACUGGUAUGUGGAGUAGCCAGUUAAGGGAAUUACAGAAAUCUUUUUUUGGAAUUUACAGGGAAAAAAGAAUUAAAGGAAAAUGACUGUUGAAGUCUUCCUUUAAGAAAACUUUUGACUUUCAAUUUUGACAACCACUGAUAUCAGAUAAAACUGCAUGUUAGAAAAUUUCUUUUGAGGUAGAGAAUUUGUAAACUAUAUUACUUGGUUACUAAAUGCAUAUACAUAAGGGUGGGAGACGUGAACAAAACUUCAGUUAGAAUGACUGGUAACUCCAUGAAGUUCUCUCUCCUUCAUUUUCUUCCCUUUUCUCCUUCACUGGUAUUCCCUGCCCAACCCCAAAUAAAAAGAAAAAAGUGCA